rnacentral:rRNA from 1 species
UACGUAGGGGGCUAGCGUUGUCCGGAAUCAUUGGGCGUAAAGAGCGUGUAGGCGGCUCGAUAAGUCCGCUGUGAAAGUCCAGGGCUCAACCCUGGGAUGCCGGUGGAUACUGUCGGGCUCGAGUCCGGAAGAGGCGAGUGGAAUUCCUGGUGUAGCGGUGAAAUGCGCAGAUAUCAGGAGGAACACCAAUGGCGAAGGCAGCUCGCUGGGACGUGACUGACGCUGAGGCGCGAAAGCGUGGGGAGCAAACAGG